CUGCUGCCUUCCGUAGGAGUAUGGGCCGUGUCUCAGUCCCAUUGUGGCUGAUCAUCCUCUCAAACCAGCUACUGAUCGUCGCCUUGGUAGUCCAUUACACCACCAACUAGCUAACCAGAUGCAGACUCAUCCUGUACCGCCGGAACUUUCAAGAAUACCAUCGCAGGUACGCUCAUAUGGGGUAUUAGCAGAAGUUUCCCUCUGUUGUCCCCCAGUACAGGGCAGAUUCUCUACA
rnacentral:rRNA from 1 species